GAUGAAGAACGCAGUGAAAUGCGAUAAGUAAUGUGAAUUGCAGAAUUCAGUGAAUCAUCGAAUCUUUGAACGCACAUUGCGCCCGCCAGCACUCUGGCGGGCAUGCCUGUCCGAGCGUCAUUUCAACCCUCAGGGCCCCUUCGGGGGACCUGGCGUUGGGGAUCGGCCCGCCCCCGUGCGGCGCCGUCCCCGAAAUAUAGUGGCGGUCUCGCUGCAGCCUCCCCUGCGUAGUAGCACACCUCGCACUGGAGAGCGGCGCGGCCACGCCGUGAAACCCCCAACUUCUGAAUGUUGACCUCGGAUCAGGUAGGAAUACCCGCUGAACUUAAGCAUAUCAAUAAGCGGAGGA
rnacentral:misc_RNA from 1 species